rnacentral:rRNA from 1 species
GACGAACGCUGGCGGCGUGCUUAACACAUGCAAGUCGAACGGAAAGGCCCUUCGGGGUACUCGAGUGGCGAACGGGUGAGUAACACGUGGGUGAUCUGCCCUGCACUCUGGGAUAAGCCUGGGAAACUGGGUCUAAUACCGGAUAUGAUCAUGCGCCUCAUGGUGUGUGGUGGAAAGCUUUUGCGGUGUGGGAUGGGCCCGCGGCCUAUCAGCUUGUUGGUGGGGUAAUGGCCUACCAAGGCGACGACGGGUAGCCGGCCUGAGAGGGUGACCGGCCACACUGGGACUGAGAUACGGCCCAGACUCCUACGGGAGGCAGCAGUGGGGAAUAUUGCACAAUGGGCGCAAGCCUGAUGCAGCGACGCCGCGUGGGGGAUGACGGCCUUCGGUUGUAACCGUACUUCUAGUACCGACGAAG